rnacentral:rRNA from 1 species
GGGGAAUAUUGGACAAUGGGGGCAACCCUGAUCCAGCAAUGCCGCGUGUGUGAAGAAGGCCUGAGGGUUGUAAAGCACUUUCAGUGGGGAGGAGGGUGAUUAGGUUAAGAGCUAGAUUACUGGACGUUACCCACAGAAGAAGCACCGGCUAACUCCGUGCCAGCAGCCGCGGUAAUACGGAGGGUGCGAGCGUUAAUCGGAAUUACUGGGCGUAAAGAGUGCGUAGGUGGUUGGAUAAGUUAUCUGUGAAAUCCCUGGGCUUAACCUGGGCAGGUCAGAUAAUACUGUUUAACUCGAGUAUGGGAGAGGGUAGUGGAAUUUCCGGUGUAGCGGUGAAAUGCGUAGAGAUCGGAAGGAACACCAGUGGCGAAGGCGGCUACCUGGCCUAAUACUGACACUGAGGCACGAAAGCGUGGGGAGCAAAC